CUUAUGUAAUGGGGUGGACAAACAAUGAACAACAACCCCAUCCGUCAUGUCAGUUUGUUACAGGUCUAGACCUAUAUAAACAACCACUAUCACUGUGGACAUCAUAUCACUUGCUGCUAUCAACAAAAGACAAAGAUGAACAAGCUAGCUAUUGUAUUGUGUGUUGUUUUGGUCUGCUCAUGCACCAUUCAAGCCCAAUUCUUGAGUGGUUUGUCAUCUGGUCAGGCUUUUGGCUUAGGAUUGGGACUUCCAUUCUUCUUAGGAGGAAUCCGUAGAAAUUUGAAUGGAGGCGGAGGUGUUGGAUACCCAAUUCCCCCACCACCAAGGCCAUUCCUUCUCCCACCACCAAUGUACCAGCCAAUCACCGUUCACCGUAGAAGAUAUUUCAAAUAUUGAAGAAACAGUGAAAACAAGAAGACUGAAUAUAAUGUUUGAACUUUUAACAGCAGCCAAGUGUGAAGAAACAACACAACAACAAUUACAAGCAAUAAAUGUCAUGUUUUUUUAAUUUGUGUUUGUUAGUCGAAUGAUUAAUUGUUUCCUUUAAAUUUCAUGUACUCACUACAACAAAAGGAUAAUUUCGUGUUAUUCUGAAACGGUAAAUAAAAUUAAGUAAAAAAAGUGAUUUUAACUGUAAGCAAUAUUUUGGGGGAGUUCUAACAGAUUUUUAAUAUUUUAACUAUCAAUUUUUACCUUUUUUGUCCAAUGUUCUCUUUCUCUGUCUUAUUAAACCAUAUUUAAAAUGCCAAAUUCAGAUGGGGACAGGUUUGUGGGCUAAAGACAACCGAAAGUUUCAAAAGUAGAUUUAAUGUGUAUACCAUUUUAUAACAAUCAAUCACUUAAUAUUGGUUGAAUUACGUCCAAGGAAGAUAGAAACAAUUUGAUCCAAUAAUGUGACUCUUUCCGUUGUCUUUCGUUCCAGUAUUCAGGAUUGUACUUGGUCUCGUAUGUGUCAUUCAAUUCAUGUUUAUAUGUCAUUAAUUUCAUCAUAUUGUUAUUUUGAAAAUAAAUACACUCAUCAUAGAUA